rnacentral:rRNA from 1 species
AUACGUAGGGAGCGAGCGUUGUCCGGAUUUACUGGGUGUAAAGGGAGCGUAGGCGGGAUGGCAAGUCAGAUGUGAAAACUAUGGGCUCAACCCAUAGACUGCAUUUGAAACUGUUGUUCUUGAGUGAAGUAGAGGUAAGCGGAAUUCCUGGUGUAGCGGUGAAAUGCGUAGAUAUCAGGAGGAACAUCGGUGGCGAAGGCGGCUUACUGGGCUUUUACUGACGCUGAGGCUCGAAAGCGUGGGGAGCGAACAGGAGUAGAUACCCUGGUAGUCCACGCUGUAAACGAUGAUUACUAGGUGUGGGGGGACUGACCCCUUCCGUGCCGCAGUUAACACAAUAAGUAAUCCACCUGGGGAGUACGGCCGCAAGGUUGAAACUCAAAUGAAUUGGCGGG